rnacentral:rRNA from 3 species
AGACCCGAAACCCGGUGAUCUAGCCAUGGGCAGGUUGAAGGUUGGGUAACACUAACUGGAGGACCGAACCGACUAAUGUUGAAAAAUUAGCGGAUGACCUGUGGCUGGGGGUGAAAGGCCAAUCAAACCGGGAGAUAGCUGGUUCUCCCCGAAAGCUAUUUAGGUAGCGCCUCGUGAAUUCAUCUCCGGGGGUAGAGCACUGUUUCGGCUAGGGGGCCAUCCCGGCUUACCAACCCGAUGCAAACUGCGAAUACCGGAGAAUGUUAUCACGGGAGACACACGGCGGGUGCUAACGUCCGUCGUGAAGAGGGAAACAACCCAGACCGCCAGCUAAGGUCCCAAAGUCAUGGUUAAGUGGGAAACGAUGUGGGAAGGCCCAGACAGCCAGGAUGUUGGCUUAGAAGCAGCCAUCAUUUAAAGAAAGCGUAAUAGCUCACUGGUCGAGUCGGCCUGCGCGGAAGAUGUAACGGGGCUAAACCAUGCACCGAAGCUGCGGCAGCGAACGUAUCACUUAAAGCGAUUCAGCGGGUUACGAUUGACGGAGCGAAGCGACGUCAAAGCGUAUACAAAGUCGAGUCGGUUUAAGGAUACGUUCGUUGGGUAGGGGAGCGUUCUGUAAGCCUGCGAAGGUGGCCUGUGAGGGUUGCUGGAGGUAUCAGAAGUGCGAAUGCUGACAUAAGUAACGAUAAAGCGGGUGAAAAGCCCGCUCGCCGGAAGACCAAGGGUUCCUGUCCAACGUUAAUCGGGGCAGGGUGAGUCGACCCCUAAGGCGAGGCCGAAAGGCGUAGUCGAUGGGAAACGGGUUAAUAUUCCCGUACUUGGUGUUACUGCGAAGGGGGGACGGAGAAGGCUAUGUUGGCCGGGCGACGGUUGUCCCGGUUUAAGCGUGUAGGUGUGUGUUCCAGGUAAAUCCGGUU